GAAUCUUGAUUUUAUAACUCAAAAGAUCCCGUUCGCGGUUCUGAUUUCAUCUUACUGUUAAAAAGAGAACAUAAAUGGGAAAACUUGGUUCUCUUGUCUAGCUGUUUUUCGUCAUCUAAAUUGUUUGAAUAAUUGACAAGAGCAAUGAAAGAGAUGGGAGGGACUAAUGUGCUAAUCCUGACAUUUCUCUUUGUUGUCUGUGCAGCCACCCUGGUUUGGCAAAUCAUCAUCUGUAAGUUGUAAGAAGAAAACAUGUUUUAUUAGUCUCAACAAUGCAUUCAUUUUGUCCAAAUCCAACCCAUAAUUGCCCAAGGAUGGCAUUUUUUCCACAUGAUUAAUCGAAACAAACUUGGGAUUCUGCAAAAGAUGUUGACAUGCUGAUUAUGAUAAAAGGAAAAGAGGGUCAUCAUUAAAGCAAAGACAAGUACAGAAAAAAUGAGGUCAUCCAUGGAAAUCAUGAAUCAGGAAAACAAAAAUGUUACCGCUGAGGACCACAGAAAAAAGAAAAUCGUUUUCCCCAUGUGCUACAAUUGCCGUUUUGCUUCUGGGAAAGCUCGAAAUAAACCAGACAGAUCCACGAAGCUGAUGAGCUACAGAGCUUAGAAUGCAUGUUACUCUUUGCCAAGGAAAUGCUCUCAGGCCUACUUGCUUUGACCAAAAAGAACAAUUAACCACAGGAUCAUUUUAAACGUGAAGCAAAUGUUAAUUUGUAACUCACCAUGAAUUGACAACCUCGACUUUGUCCUGGCUCACCAAAGUUUUAACAGGAAGGUUCUUUGGACGGUGUAAGCUCAACUUGUAGCCGACCCUGUUCAGGUUUUCUUGCCUUCUUUGCUUCCUGUUUGAUGGUUUCAUCUGCCAGGCCGGCACAUAGCUCCCCAAGUCUAUCGGUUCAAGCUUCCUGCUGCAACCAACAGAUAAAGGGGAAGACAAGUGGAAAUUAAUUUAGCUUGAGCAUCCUUUUGCUGGUGGACUUGGCAUGGACCCUGUUGAGAAAUGGUGUGCUACUUGCUGAAAGUGGCACCAAGGCAGAGAGUCAAUAAGGUGUCGUUUUGUAUUUAAGACUUAUGUUGUCCUUUGAUGUUGUUCUGCUAUCGUUUUGAUCUCGAGUUUAUUUACGUAGUGUUGUAUUUCCUUUACUAUUGAAAUUUAUUGUUUUUCCAAUUGUUAGGGAUUUUACUUUCCGUUCCUCCUUCAAAAUAUGUUGUUAUGCUUGGUGUCUAUUGUCUGUUAUGUGGCAGGGUAUCUAUCACAGAUCCCUAUGCUUCUAGAAUAUAGGAUAUCAGCUCAAGUGGGUGUGUUCAACUGGUGCUGGUAAAUUUGGUUAUCCUCCAUUGUAUAUAUUGCUCUGUUACUUAAUGAAAAAUGAGCUUUUCUCUUCCA